GGGGCUGUUUUUGGAUUCGACAAAAUUAUCAAAAAAAUAAAGUGCAUGCCGAGGAACGGUUUGCCUCGAUAAAAAACCGUAAAAAAAUAGCUGCAAAUAACAAACAAAACUACGCUUUAGCAGCUUAAAACACUGUUUAAAGCCCUUUCAUCUCUAACUUAUCUCUUGAAGAAGGAGAAAUUUUUAAGAAAGGUCAAAAUUUAAAGAGAACAACGUGAGCACUAAGCUUGACAGUGACACGAAAAUAAUUUUCAAGCUAUACGCUUAAAAUGCGUUCUUCCAAAUUAAGCGAUGAAUAAUCAGUAAAGAAAAACUAAGCAUGUAGUAUCUUUAUUUAUAGACAUUUUGGACGCGGGUUCAAAUCCCGCCAGCUCCAA
rnacentral:tmRNA from 1 species